AAUAGAUACCCGGGUAGUCCACGCCGUAAACGAUGAGUGCUAAGUGUUAGAGGGUUUCCGCCCUUUAGUGCUGCAGCUAACGCAUUAAGCACUCCGCCUGGGGAGUACGGCCGCAAGGCUGAAACUCAAAGGAAUUGACGGGGGCCCGCACAAGCGGUGGAGCAUGUGGUUUAAUUCGAAGCAACGCGAAGAACCUUACCAGGUCUUGACAUCCUCUGCCAACCCUAGAGAUAGGGCGUUCCCCUUCGGGGGACAGAGUGACAGGUGGUGCAUGGUUGUCGUCAGCUCGUGUCGUGAGAUGUUGGGUUAAGUCCCGCAACGAGCGCAACCCUUGAUCUUAGUUGCCAGCACUCAGUUGGGCACUCUAAGGUGACUGCCGGUGACAAACCGGAGGAAGGUGGGGAUGACGUCAAAUCAUCAUGCCCCUUAUGACCUGGGCUACACACGUGCUACAAUGGAUGGUACAAAGAGCUGCGAACCCGCGAGGGUAAGCCAAUCUCAUAAAGCCAUUCUCAGUUCGGA
rnacentral:rRNA from 1 species